rnacentral:rRNA from 1 species
UACGUAGGGGGCAAGCGUUGUCCGGAUUUAUUGGGCGUAAAGAGCGUGUAGGCGGCCAGAUAGGUCCGUUGUGAAAACUCGAGGCUCAACCUCGAGACGCCGAUGGAAACCAUUUGGCUAGAGUCCGGAAGAGGAAAGUGGAAUUCCUGGUGUAGCGGUGAAAUGCGCAGAUAUCAGGAAGAACACCAAUGGCGAAAGCAGCUUUCUGGGACGGUACUGACGCUGAGACGCGAAAGCGUGGGGAGCGAACAGG